rnacentral:rRNA from 1 species
ACACCGGCAGCUCUAGUGGUAGCUGUUUUUAUUGGGCCUAAAGCGUUCGUAGCCGGUUUGGUAAGUCACUGGUGAAAUCCUGUAGCUUAACUAUGGGACUUGCUGGUGAUACUGUUGAACUUGAGGUCGGGAGAGGUUAGCGGUACUCCCAGGGUAGAGGUGAAAUUCUGUAAUCCUGGGAGGACCACCUGUGGCGAAGGCGGCUAACUGGAACGAACCUGACGGUGAGGGACGAAAGCUAGGGGCGCGAACCGGAUUAGAUACCCGGGUAGUCCUAGCCGUAAACGAUGCGGACUUGGUGUUGGGAUGGCUUUGAGCCGCUCCGGUGCCGAAGGGAAGCUGUUAAGUCCGCCGCCUGGGAAGUACGGUCGCAAGACUGAAACUUAAAGGAAUUGGCGGGG